rnacentral:rRNA from 1 species
UACGUAGGGGGGCUAGCGUUGUCCGGAAUCAUUGGGCGUAAAGCGCGUGUAGGCGGCCCGGUAAGUCCGCUGUGAAAGUCGGGGGCUCAACCCUCGAAUGCCGGUGGACUACUGUCGGGCUAGAGUGCGGAAGAGGCGAGUGGAAGUUCCUGGUGUGAGCGGUGAAAUACGGCAGAUAUCAGGAGGAACACCAAUUGCGAAGGCAGCUCGCUGGGACGUUACUGACGCUGAGACGCGAAAGCGUGGGGAGCAAACAGG